rnacentral:rRNA from 1 species
AAGAGAUGGCGACCGGCGCACGGGUGAGUAACACGUAUCCAACCUGCCCUUUACUCGGGGAUAGCCUUUCGAAAGAAAGAUUAAUACCCGAUAGCAUAAUGAUUCCGCAUGGUUUCAUUAUUAAAGGAUUCCGGUAAAGGAUGGGGAUGCGUUCCAUUAGGUUGUUGGUGAGGUAACGGCUCACCAAGCCUUCGAUGGAUAGGGGUUCUGAGAGGAAGGUCCCCCACAUUGGAACUGAGACACGGUCCAA